rnacentral:pre_miRNA from 1 species
UGAGAACUGAAUUUCAUGGACUGGUUGUAAUUCAUUGUCUUCAGUCCAUAGUACUCAGUUCUCUA